UUAAUAUAGUUUCAUCUGACCAUAGAAGCCGGUCCCGUUUGAAGUUCCAGUCUUGUCUGACAACUAAAUAUACUGGAGAUUCACUCUAAAAACUCCUGGGUUAUUUCUUUAACCCAUUUUCUGGGUUAUUUGUGUUGGGUUAAAAUUAUGGGUUAUUUUUUCAGAGAGUAACCAUUUUCUGGGAUAUAGGGCUAAUAUUUUGACCCAAUUCCUGAGUUGUUUAGGUUUCUGGGUUAUUUUUCAAAGAGUAACCCAUGUUCUGGGUUCACGCCCCUUCCCCCCGCCCCCCGCUGUUGUUCUGGAAUUUUCUCACAACAGUCGUUUGAAAUAACUGUCACUUGAACUUGAACACGAUCGAUCCUUUUUGGCCUGGUCUUCUUCGGUGCAACUUCGUCGCAUAUUCAAGGUAAGCAAGUAUUCAGUGUCAAUGUAACGUAAACUUUUCUGUGUCCAUGUCCCCGUUGCUUGUUUAACACCAUUUGCUGAAAAAAAUUACCAUGGCUUACCGUGGUAAUUCUGUGGUUAGCAUGUAGCCGCCCGCGGAUAUCGCGACAACAUCUAGUUUAAAGUCCGUGUAAAGUCAAAAUAAAUAUGUGUUUAUAUGUGUUUACUUUCUUUAAGUCAGACUAAAUAAGAAAGUGUUAUUAACCACCCAGCCAAAUUUGAAUGAUUAAAAAUAACGAUAAGUUCAUUAAAUUAGGUGUCAAAAUGGUUUAAAUGCUUUUUACACAUUGUUGAGAAAUACAUAUAUGACCUAUUUAAUGUGUUUAGAAGAAAAUGACUGAAUUCACUUUACACGGUCUUUAAAUUCUAUUUUUUCAUAAACUGUGCUGUACUUAUCUCAUUGUUAUAAUACUGGUAAUAAUACGAUAAGUACAGUGCAGCUAGUGGCGACUUCAUGCCGUGUUAAGGGGGUCGAACACCGGACGUGAAGCGCCGCGCUGCGCCGCGUCUAGGACAACUCGAGGUAUCGCGUACUUUCUCAGUUUAUGGCCAGCAAUAUUGUUAUGUUUAAGGACAUUAUGGAAUUAAGAUCAUGCUGAGUCUGCAGUCUGAACACUUUAUCUCAGAGCGUCCGUUAACUGAAUGAAUUGAGAAUAUCACCUGAAAAUCCAAUAACAUCAGCAAUUUUCAUUCAAGCAGCUGAUUUCUGUAAAUUAAUGUAAAACUAACAUUUAUAUUGCAGCACAUGGUGAAGUCAGUAUAAACAUUAACAACGAUUUGAGACAAAUAAGUGUAAAUUUAAUAUAAAUCUAUGUACAUGGCGCUCUGUGGCGCUGCAGGAUUUUGAACAAGGUCCUGAACCGUUGCUGGGCGCCGCCGGUGUGUGUACGCUCAUAGAGAAUAAUGUGUUUGAAUUUUUAAAUACGCUUCUCGUCCGAUGUGCGACCCCCUUUAAGGGCCGCGGCUAGAGCGAGGAGGCAACACAAUAGUUGAGUUAUGUUAACCAGCUGUGCUGUGCUUAUCAUAUUAUACAGUGCUCUACUGGCUUAAGUAGUGAGAGUUAAAGAAGCGUGUCAAGUCUUCAAAUUGUUGCUAACCUCUAUUGCUAUAUGUUUUCUCCAGGUCAUUUUAAAUGGACAGCUUUGUCGCUGAUAAGCUAACUGAGUGGUGGCUGUCUGAGCUGAUAGAGAAUUUUAGAGGUGAAGACAUAGAUGAGGAGGCACUUCUUCUCUUAGAUGAGGACACUAUCAAAAAUCUUGUCCCUCAAGUUCAAUCCAGUUAUUCAAUGUUGUCAAAUGUUUUAGAGAGAAUGAGUUGUUUAUUUUUCUAUUUUUUUCUAAUGUCUAAUGUUAUUACAGUGUGACCUAAAAUAAAUAGGUCCAAGUGUGUGUGUUUUUUUUUUAUAUAGAGUUUAAUUUAAUUGAAUGGAAUAAAAAUGUAAAAGUGCUUGAA